rnacentral:rRNA from 1 species
CAAUGAGACGAAUUUACACCCCUUAUCGAUCACCAAUUGGAGGGCAAGUCUGGUGCCAGCAGCCGCGGUAAUUCCAGCUCCAAUAGCGUAUAUUAAAGUUGUUGCAGUUGAAAAGCUCGUAGUUGGAUUUCUGGCAGGGGGUUAAAGACCGCUUGCAGCGUGUGCUUGCAAUCCCCUACCAUCCUUCUGUUAACGCGCCAGGACAUUCACUUGUCGGGCGCGGGCUCAGAUAAUUUACCUUGAGAAAAUUAGAGUGUUUCAGGCAGGCUGACGCCGGGAUACAUUAGCAUGGAAUAAUGGAAUAGGACUUUCGCCUCUUCUGUUGGUCUGAGGGGUGAUCGUAAUGAUUAAUAGGGAUAGUUGGGGGCAUUAGUACUUAACUGUCAGAGGUGAAAUUCUCGGAUUUGUUAAAGACUAACUUAUGCGAAAGCAUUUGCCAAGGAUGUUUUCAUUAAUCAAGAACGAAAGUUAGGGGAUCAAAGACGAUCAGAUACCGUCCUAGUCUUAACCAUAAACUAUGCCGACUCGGG